GSCGUAUACAUGCAGUCGAACGCUUCUUUCCUCCCGAGUGCUUGCACUCAAUUGGAAAGAGGAGUGGCGGACGGGUGAGUAACACGUGGGUAACCUACCCAUCAGAGGGGGAUAACACUUGGAAACAGGUGCUAAUACCGCAUAACAGUUUAUGCCGCAUGGCAUAAGAGUGAAAGGCGCUUUCGGGUGUCGCUGAUGGAUGGACCCGCGGUGCAUUAGCUAGUUGGUGAGGUAACGGCUCACCAAGGCCACGAUGCAUAGCCGACCUGAGAGGGUGAUCGGCCACACUGGGACUGAGACACGGCCCAGACUCYUACGGGAGGCAGCAGUAGGGAAUCUUCGGCAAUGGACGAAAGUCUGACCGAGCAACGCCGCGUGAGUGAAGAAGGUUUUCGGAUCGUAAAACUCUGUUGUUAGAGAAGAACAAGGACGUUAGUAACUGAACGUCCCCUGACGGUAUCUAACCAGAAAGCCRCGGCUAACUACGUGCCAGCAGCCGCGGUAAUACGUARGUGGMAAGCGUUGUCCGGAUUUAUUGGGCGUAAAGCGAGCGCAGGCGGUUUCUUAAGUCUGAUGUGAAARCCCCCGGCUCAACCGGGGAGGGUCAUUGGAAACUGGRGAGACUUGAGUGCAGAAGAGGAGAGUGGAAUUCCAUGUGUAGCGGUGAAAUGCGUASAURUAUGGAGGAACACCWGUGKCGMAGGCGKCUCUCUGGUCUGUAACUGACGCUGAGGCUCGAAAGCGUGKSGAGC
rnacentral:rRNA from 1 species